GAUGAACGCUAGCGAUAGGCUUAACACAUGCAAGUCGAGGGGCAGCACAAGGUAGCUUGCUAUCUGGGUGGCGACCGGCGCACGGGUGCGUAACGCGUAUGCAACUUGCCCUAUACAGGAGGAUAACCCGUCGAAAGACGGACUAAUACUGCGUAUGCUCACAACUUGGCAUCAAGUGGUGAGGAAAGAAAUUCGGUAUAGGAUAGGCAUGCGUCCCAUUAGCUUGUUGGUGAGGUAACGGCUCACCAAGGCAACGAUGGGUAGGGGAACUGAGAGGUUUAUCCCCCACACUGGUACUGGGACACGGACCAGACUCCUACGGGAGGCAGCAGUGAGGAAUAUUGGUCAAUGGGCGCGAGCCUGAACCAGCCAAGUCGCGUGAAGGAUGACUGUCUUAUGGAUUGUAAACUUCUUUUAUACGGGAAUAACAAGAGUCACGUGUGACUCCCUGCAUGUACCGUAUGAAUAAGCAUCGGCUAACUCCGUG
rnacentral:rRNA from 1 species